CAUUCCCUUUUCACUUUGCUAAUUGGUGAAAUGUCUUUACUGAUCAUAUAAGUGGAGCAGAGGAACUGUCCUUUUAAAACUCUGACAAAUUGAGUGUUAUCUAAGUUAGAGGAGACAAAU
ensembl:snoRNA